rnacentral:rRNA from 1 species
UACAGAGGUCUCAAGCGUUGUUCGGAUUCAUUGGGCGUAAAGGGUGCGUAGGCGGCGCCGUAAGUCGGAUGUGAAAUUUCGGAGCUUAACUUCGAAACUGCAUUCGAUACUGCGGUGCUUGAGGACUGGAGAGGAGACUGGAAUUCAUGGUGUAGCAGUGAAAUGCGUAGAGAUCAUGAGGAAGACCAGUGGCGAAGGCGGGUCUCUGGACAGUUCCUGACACUGAGGCACGAAGGCCAGGGGAGCAAACGGG